AGAGUUUGAUCAUGGCUCAGGAUGAACGCUGGCGGUAUGCCUAACACAUGCAAGUCGAACGAUGUCUUCGGACAUAGUGGCGGACGGGUGAGUAACGCGUGAGAAUCUGCCUCUAGGAUGGGGAUAACGGUUGGAAACGACCGCUAACACCCAAUAUGCCGUAAGGUGAAAAAUUUAUUGCCUGGAGAGGAGCUCGCGUCUGAUUAGCUAGUUGGUGGGGUAAGAGCUCACCAAGGCUUCGAUCAGUAGCUGGUCUGAGAGGAUGAGCAGCCACACUGGGACUGAGACACGGCCCAGACUCCUACGGGAGGCAGCAGUGGGGAAUUUUCCGCAAUGGGCGAAAGCCUGACGGAGCAAUACCGCGUGAGGGAGGAAUGCCUUUGGGUUGUAAACCUCUUUUCUCAGGGAAGAAGAUCUGACGGUACCUGAGGAAUAAGUAUCGGCUAACUCCGUGCCAGCAGCCGCGGUAAUACGGAGGAUGCAAGCGUUAUCCGGAAUCAUUGGGCGUAAAGCGUCCGCAGGUGGUUUCCAAAGUCUGCUGUUAAAGACUGGAGCUCAACUCCGGAACGGCGGUGGAAACUUGGAAACUAGAGUUCGGUAGGGGUAGCAGGAAUUCCCAGUGUAGCGGUGAGAUGCGUAGAUAUUGGGAAGAACAUCGGUGGCGAAGGCGUGCUACUGGACCGUAACUGACACUCAGGGACGAAAGCUAGGGGAGCGAAAGGGAUUAGAUACCCCUGUAGUCCUAGCUGUAAACGAUGGAAACUAGGUGUGGCUUGUAUCGACCCGAGCCGUGCCGUAGCUAACGCGUUAAGUUUCCCGCCUGGGGAGUACGC
rnacentral:rRNA from 1 species